rnacentral:rRNA from 1 species
GCGAACGCUGGCGGCAGGCUUAACACAUGCAAGUCGAGCGCCCCGCAAGGGGAGCGGCAGACGGGUGAGUAACACGUGGGGAUCUGCCCAAUGGUACGGAAUAACUCAGGGAAACUUGUGCUAAUACCGUAUGUGCCCUUCGGGGGAAAGAUUUAUCGCCAUUGGAUGAACCCGCGUCAGAUUAGCUAGUUGGUGGGGUAAGAGCCCACCAAGGCGACGAUCUGUAGCUGGUCUGAGAGGAUGAUCAGCCACACUGGGACUGAGACACGGCCCAGACUCCUACGGGAGGCAGCAGUGGGGAAUAUUGGACAAUGGGCGCAAGCCUGAUCCAGCCAUGCCGCGUGAGUGAUGAAGGCCUUAGGGUUGUAAAGCUCUUUCGCCGACGAAGAUAAUGACGGUAGUCGGAGAAGAAGCCCCGGCUAACUUCGU